GAUGAACGCUGGCGGCGUGCCUAAUACAUGCAAGUCGAGCGAACAGACGAGGAGCUUGCUCCUCUGACGUUAGCGGCGGACGGGUGAGUAACACGUGGAUAACCUACCUAUAAGACUGGGAUAACUUCGGGAAACCGGAGCUAAUACCGGAUAAUAUAUUGAACCGCAUGGUUCAAUAGUGAAAGACGGUUUUGCUGUCACUUAUAGAUGGAUCCGCGCCGCAUUAGCUAGUUGGUAAGGUAACGGCUUACCAAGGCGACGAUGCGUAGCCGACCUGAGAGGGUGAUCGGCCACACUGGGACUGAGACACGGUCCAGACUCCUACGGGAGGCAGCAGUGGGGAAUAUUCCGCAAUGGGCGAAAGCCUGACGGAGCAACGCCGCGUGAGUGAAGAAGGUCUUCGGAUCGUAAAACUCUGUUAUUAGGGAAGAACAAAUGUGUAAGUAACUAUGCACGUCUUGACGGUACCUAAUCAGAAAGCCACGGCUAACUACGUG
rnacentral:rRNA from 1 species